AUAAAUUCAACUCUACAAUCCCAUUUUCUUACAGCUACACUACUCCUUAUGCCAUUUUCCUUACAGAGCGCAUAGAAAACGUUGUGUGUGUGUGUGUGUGUGUGUGUGUGUGUGUGUGUGUGUGUGUGUGUGUGUGUGUGUGUGUGUGUGUGUGUGUGUGUGUGUG